GUCCGCUUAACUCAGUGGUACGAGUGUCGGCUUCCGGAGAGGGCGCCGGCGGUCGAGGGUUCGACCCCCUCAGCGGAUU
rnacentral:tRNA from 2 species